rnacentral:lncRNA from 1 species
GGAACCCUGUGGGCUCUCUGCCUUUGCCCCCAAUGUCAGCCAGGAGACAGCCCCCCUGCCCUGCUGGAGCCAGACCGUUGAUGGAGGGCCCCGGUGGGUGAGGUCUGUAGCGCCAUGGAAACAGACUAAAGAGCGGCGGCAAGAAAGGAGUUGGUCUCCACAAACCGCCCAAAGUCAAGGAAGAUUUUGGAUAAAUCAUUAUCAAGGAAGCUAAGGACACCUGUGUUGUAUUGAAAGCACACCAGGCCAUGAAAUCGGAGGCCUGAAUUUGAAUUCCAGUUACUCACAAAUGAACUAAAAUCAGUCUGACGGUGGCUGCACAAGAUGGGAAGGAAUAAUCAUUGAAAUUAGACCCAAGGAAGAAUGCAUGAAGUAUGCCUGCUCUCAGCCGCCAGUGUCAGAACAGCUCAGAUCCAAGGAGCAUACGUUUGACCUCAGAUGAAUUCUGGAGUGUUUUCCUGUAGAAGAGCUUGCUCCAGGUCACUCCUGUCUAGAGCCCAGAUUCUGAGGAAGAGUCACAGGGAGAAUCCGGCAGAGGAUCCCCUCCCCCAACCCCAGCCUGUGCUUAAUUAAGUGAGUGGCUUAAGGGACUUGCCUCCUCUUCAAGAUUAAGAGAAUUCCCUCAGUUUCACAUCCCUUGGAAAUCUCACGUUCACGAAAGGUUCUCAUCAUAUGCCAGGUGCUCCAUGAAAC